GACGAACGCUGGCGGCGUGCUUAACACAUGCAAGUCGAACGGAAAGGCCCUGCUUUUGUGGGGUGCUCGAGUGGCGAACGGGUGAGUAACACGUGAGUAACCUGCCCUUGACUUUGGGAUAACUUCAGGAAACUGGGGCUAAUACCGGAUAGGAGCUCCUGCUGCAUGGUGGGGGUUGGAAAGUUUCGGCGGUUGGGGAUGGACUCGCGGCUUAUCAGCUUGUUGGUGGGGUAGUGGCUUACCAAGGCUUUGACGGGUAGCCGGCCUGAGAGGGUGACCGGCCACAUUGGGACUGAGCUACGGCCCAGACUCCUACGGGAGGCAGCAGUGGGGAAGAUUGCCCGAUGGGCGGAAGCCUGAUGCAGCAACGCCGCGUGCGGGGUGAUGGCCUUCGGUUUGGAAACCGCUUUCGCCUGUGACGAAGCGUGAGUGACGGUAAUGGGUAAAGAAGCACCGGCUAACUACGUG
rnacentral:rRNA from 1 species